GAGCUCGCCAUCCCCCUGGACCUCGGGUCACCGCCACCUUGAUCUCCCGGGGUGGACCGAGAGGGACCGGUGACGUCAUCAGCUGCCAAGGCCACGUCAUCUCUGGACACGUGCCUGACUCACAGCUGAACUCAGAUAAUUCCCAGUUUGCCCCGGUUGGGUUCACUGCCUCUCUCUCUCUCUGCGCCAGAUAAACGGCCGGCCGAACUCCAAUACAAGAGCCAGGAGGAGUUCAUAAACCAGAACUCAUCUAAGUCAACUGGAGUGCAACUAGAAAAGAUAAUACAGAAGAAGAGUUCAGGACACAACAAGGGCAAGAUUUCUCCCGGCGCUGCCGAGGGUCACUCAGACUGUGACAGACGGUCAAUGUGUUCAUGAGAGUGAGAGAGAGCGGGAAAAGAGCGCUGCACACAGCUCUACUAUGAAGCAGAGCAACAAAACACUCAACACCUCUUCAACCUAUGCAGCAUUUGUUGUUGUUGCAUCAUGUUGCGUCAGGUCCAGUGCGUCACUCAACUUCCUCAUCUUGCAGUGUGAGAGACAAAGCGCUGGCCUGCACGCCGACAAGCCUCCCCGGCCAGCUACAGUAAACUGGGUGACGUGAUAAGUCGUGAUUAUACCUGCAGACGUGUCUUGCGAUAUAUUAAAGUAGUGGAAAAGAGACAUUUGGAGGUCAUUGGAGUUGACGUCUGUCCACUGAAGAGACGUCUCGGAGAGGCUCUUGUCGAGACUGGCCGGCCUGGCCGCGAGCCUGCCGCGCCACGUUUUUUCGCCAUCCCGUGUAACCAUGCCGACAGGAUUGGGCCGGGGUCCAGGAAGACAGUCGGCUCUGGAAGCUGUCAGCAGCAGCUCCGUUUGACGGCAUGCAAAUGUAUGCAAAUGAAGAGGUCCAACCAUGACACCUGCACACAGGAGGAAUGGACCGUGCCCUUCCCAGCAGAGGACUCUGGAAAACAGAUGCCAUCCAGCACAAUGUCGAGUCAGCCAAAUGUUUCUCAGAGGUUUCUGGUGGCACGGGCGAGUGACUGAGAGCUUCCUGAAGUGGCGGCUCAGUUUUAUCUCACUUCCACAGCUGCGUGUGGUGAGGCUGGCAGCUCACACGGUGGAAAACUGUUUUCAGACAUGAACUCCAGAAAAUAUUCGGAAAACCGCGUGUGGACAGUUUCUGGAGUUUGCCGUUCACAUAUGAAAAAGGAUUGUCAGAGUAGGACGUGUUCGGGACAGCAAAAAGAUUUCAGGUUGAGUCCCUUUGUCCAAGCGUCCCAGCUGCCAGCAGCAUCAUAUCUGGCAGGCCCACUGCCAGGGGACAGACAUGAGCGUGACAUGGUCAACGAACCAUAUGGGACGUCAUUCGUACACUCAAAGUCAUGGAGGCCCUCAUGCCGGAGUCAUUCAAAGUGCUGUCCACCCACCAGACAACUGGUCCCCGAAGCACACCCCUCUGACACCCCUGUGUUUCUUCUUGGUUGAUUCACGUCCCAGUCCUGCGCUCCUCUGAUUCACUUUGAUGUUUAAUCCCAUCCUGACUGUGUCCUCCUUCAGUCCGCGGAGCCGCUCGGCCAGUCAUGAAUAUCCAAAGGAUGAAUGUGCAGUCGGACGUGCAGGUGUCCACAGAUUCAUCGCUCCUUGGUGACAUUGUCAGUUUCAGGCUCUCCACAAGAUGUUGACCCAGACUGCAGGCACCGGCCCAAAGACGGGACUUUUGCUGCAGCAGAGAAAUAUUGUAUUUCCCGACAUGAUUUGCUGCUGAGCCCAAGGAAAAUACCAGCUAUACGCACGCGAGGAAGAUUCAGACUCACAUUACCCCUUUGCACGCUGAACCUCACAGGAGACGAGGGAUGGUUUCGGCAACAUGAAAGUUAAAAUGAAUCCAAACUUCUCCUUUCCCUCACUGCUUCCUGUGAUGAUCAGAGCAUCGCCUCGCUCUUCUCUCCCCGUUAAUGAUGCGGAGAGUUUGACCACCGGUCAGCGAGGGGCCGAGUCUGAGGGACUCCUCCUCCCCACCUCCUCUCAUCUUCUCCUCUGAUCACCGAGCCGCAUCUCUGCCUUGUUAGUAACGUCCAUCUCACUUUCUCUGACCUGUCAUGUCAAUCUCGGGCCCACACACACACACACACACACACACACACACACACACACUCCCUGGCCCGCAGGUCAGGGUGCACGCUCGCACGCGCUCGCACGCAGACUGACUGACACACUCCCCUACUCACCGGCAAUUUGUUGCCCCGUGACAUCACAUUGUGUGUGGAAGCCGCACUGGCACCGGGCUGCAGCUUCGUUAACUUUCCUCUUUAAUGAGCAGUUUAAUUGAGCUGUCUAGCAAGGCCACCUGUCGGCCCGCGGCCUCAUUUCCAUACUAAUGGGGCCGGAUUGUUGCUGCUGUGACAGCUCAAGCUGCACUGGCCUAACAGGCACCGGGGAGAGGGAGAGGGAUGGAGAGGGACGGAGAGGCCAAGUAGGGAAAGAAGGGGAUGGAAGCCCACACACUGGAAGAGAGGGAUUUCCAGAGAAUGGGGAGAAGAGAAGGAGUAACAAAAAAAGGGUUGUCGCUUUAAAGGAUAAGCAAUUUUUUCUACCAAAAACCAACAAUCUACCAAUAACACUGAACUGAUGCAUCAACUGUUUUGUCAAGAACUGUACUGAAGAAGCGCGCCAGCAAUCCACAGCGUUGCCCCGGGCUGACGCGCUCCUUCGCGCCCAUGAGCAACAAUGUGUACGCUGGCAGAGCUCCACCUGUCCGAGGUUCAGAGACGUCUCCAGCGAGUGACGUGAGAAAGAAAACGGAGCUCAGAUGCUGUGGGGAAAUUACUGAACCUUUCAAUUCUGAAAGCCACAGUGUGACAAAAUCUGGAAGAACUUAUUCACGGAAAAAUGAGCAUAUUGUCCAUAACUAUGUUUUCAUAUAUGUAUUAUCGCUGAUGUCCAAAUGAGUUAAAUAUAGUUCCGUGGGGUGG